GACGAACGCUGGCGGCGUGCUUAACACAUGCAAGUCGAACGGAAAGGCCCUGCUUUUGUGGGGUGCUCGAGUGGCGAACGGGUGAGUAACACGUGAGUAACCUGCCCUUGACUUUGGGAUAACUUCAGGAAACUGGGGCUAAUACCGGAUAGGAGCUCCUGAUGCAUGGUGGGGGUUGGAAAGUUUCGGCGGGUGGGGAUGGACGCGCGGCUUAUCAGCUUGUUGGGGGGGUAGUGGCUUACCAAGGCUUUGACGGGUAGCCGGCCUGGGAGGGUGACCGGCCACAUUGGGCCUGAGGUACGGCCCAGACUCCUACGGGGGGCAGCAGUGGGGAAUCUUGCACAAUGGGCGGAAGCCUGAUGCGGCAACGCCGCGUGCGGGAUGACGGCCUUCGGGUUGUAAACCGCUUUCGCCUGUGACGAAGCGUGAGUGACGGUAAUGGGUAAAGAAGCACCGGCUAACUACGUG
rnacentral:rRNA from 1 species